GUCUUCGAGUCGUUGAUUUCACACUGCCGAGAAAAGCCUCUAGAUAGAAAAUAGGUGCCCGUACCGCAAACCGACACAGGUAGUCAAGAUGAGAAUUCUAAGGUGAGCGAGCGAACUCUCGUUAAGGAACUCGGCAAAAUGACCCCGUAACUUCGGGAGAAGGGGUGCUCUUUAGGGUUAACGCCCAGAAGAGCCGCAGUGAAUAGGCCCAAGCGACUGUUUAUCAAAAACACAGGUCUCUGCUAAACCGUAAGGUGAUGUAUAGGGGCUGACGCCUGCCCGGUGCUGGAAGGUUAAGAGGAGUGGUUAGCUUCUGCGAAGCUACGAAUCGAAGCCCCAGUAAACGGCGGCCGUAACUAUAACGGUCCUAAGGUAGCGAAAUUCCUUGUCGGGUAAGUUCCGACCCGCACGAAAGGCGUAACGAUUUGGGCACUGUCUCAACGAGAGACUCGGUGAAAUCAUAGUACCUGUGAAGAUGCAGGUUACCCGCGACAGGACGGAAAGACCCCGUGGAGCUUUACUGUAGCCUGAUAUUGAAAUUCGGCACAGCUUGUACAGGAUAGGUAGGAGCCUUUGAAACGUGAGCGCUAGCUUACGUGGAGGCGCUGGUGGGAUACUACCCUAGCUGUGUUGGCUUUCUAACCCGCACCAC
rnacentral:rRNA from 1 species